AACCAGCUCCUCGAGUGGUUGGGAUGUUUAUUGGGCCUAAAGCGUCCGUAGCCGGCCUUGUAAGUCCUUGGCUAAAUCCGUCAGCCUAACUGACGGCGUGCUGAGGAUACUGCUCGGCUUGGGGGCGAGAGAGGCUGAGGGUACUACUGGGGUAGGGGUGAAAUCCUAUAAUCCCAGUAGGACCACCUGUGGCGAAGGCGUUCAGCUGGAGCGCGCCCGACGGUGAGGGACGAAAGCUAGGGGAGCGAACCGG
rnacentral:rRNA from 1 species